CCCACCACACAUUUCUCUCUCUUUCUUCUCACUCACCUGCAAGUCUGCAACUCAAUGACUACCCAAAACUCAUCUCACUUCAUCUUUUAUUCUCAUUAAUGGUGGUAUUAAUCCCCCAGAUUCUUGUGGAAUUGAAGAACACGGAGCAAAUUCAUGUGGUUUUGGAUCAGUUUUUCGGUAGAAGGGGGAUUUGAUAAAGAAUAUAUCUGCAUGACUUGAUGUUCCGUCGUCUAAUGAAACCACACAAAUUUGUGCGAAACUGGGGAAUUUUGAUCUUGAUUUGAACUCACAGGAUGUUUUCGGUUUCGUUUAAUCAUGAAAUCGGACAACCCAUAUCCACUGGAAUCGCCUCAUUUCACCUGAGUGACAACAAUAUUCGAGAACAAAGUGUGCUUUUUUGGCUCAGAUCUGCACAUACGAAACCAGACAAUGUGUAUCGUUGUGUGGAAUUUUUGUUGGUGAUUGCGGUGCCGAUUGGGCGGAUCUGAGUGGAGAUGCAGUGGUGGUGGUGGUUUUAGAACAUAGUGAUGGUGGUGAAGUGCAGGUUUGGAGGUGGGUAGCGUGGUUUUGAUUAUUAACAACACAAAUUAAGUCAACAUUAAUUGCAUAUUAUCCUCUCCAUUCAAUUGGUCAAUCAAGUUGAUUACCAAGAUAAUUGCAAAUCAAUCAAGUUGACUGACUGGGCAUUAAUCUAGCCCAAGAAUUAUGCUUCUGUAAUUACUUUGUAAUCUUUGCAUUUACUUUGUACCUCUAUAUAUUAUGUUGUAAGUAUUAUGUAAAAUCAUCUUGAUUAAUACAAUUCAUUUUCAAGUUCUA